AUUGAACGCUGGCGGCAGGCCUAACACAUGCAAGUCGAGCGACCGGCGGACGGGCGAGUAAUGUAUGGGGACUGCCCGAUCGACGGGGAUAACUACUGGAAACGGUGGCUAAUACCGCAUACUAUUGGUUAACCCAUAUGGGAUUAGCUAGUGGGUGGGGUAAAGGCUCACCUAGGCGACGCUCUCUAGCUGGUCUGAGAGGAUGAUCAGCGACACUGGGACUGAGACACGGCCCAGACUCCUACGGAGGCAGCAGUGGGGAAUAUUGCACAAUGGACGAAAGCCUGAAGCAGCAAUGCAGCGUGUAUGAAGAAGGCCUUAGGGUUGGAAAGUACUGUCAGCAGGGAGGCGAUACCCGCAGAGGAAGCACCGGCUAACUCCGUGCCAGCAGCCGCGGUAAUAC
rnacentral:rRNA from 1 species